GUCCUGCUCCUCCUGCCCUCAUCCGCAAAAGCAGAGGGGAGACCAGAUAACCCUGACGCGGCUUCUUCGGAUUCUAAUUCUCUGUACAUCUGUGGCCAGUUCUGCAAAAACAGCAUCCGAAGUCCAGAGAUCACAAUCAUCACUGGCAAUGAGGCAUGAGCAACACAUGGAGAGAGGGUAUUUCCAGAACGACGCUGCCACGGAACCCAAGAAUCCCUUAGAUCCAUAAAGGAAGCUAGUCUUGAACACACCCCUCCCUGGGCCUCCUCUCCAGUUCCUACAUCCUGCCCUUUAUCCAAUCCCCAGCCUUUCCCUUGGCUUUGAAUAAAUUAUGUGAAAG
rnacentral:lncRNA from 1 species